ACUCCAUUAAAUAUAAAAAAUUACUGACGUAACUGUUGUGGGACAUAAUAAAGUUGAUGUGUAUAAAAAAAUUAUUUUUUAUUUUGUUAUUAAAUAUUUUUGAUAUAUUUGAGGGUAAAAUCGUCACACAACAAUCUUUUAUACAUUCUGAGUAAUAAAAAACAGCAAAACAUAAGAAUCGAUCAAAGAGCAAGCCUUCUUGUCUCUUUCCAGAUCUUAAUUUUUUCUUAUCAGGACCUGGGUUUGGGGUUACGUGUUGGUUGAUGGUGCUUGAGGUUUGGAAGAUGGAUCUGUUCGGAUCUAACUGUGAUGGUAGUGGUCUGAUACAUAUUAAUAAACAAGGUAAACCCAAAUUUAGGUUUAUGUUCCAUCACAAUUCAGUCUAUUCGAAGAAUCCGAGUAGUCGACGGAGGCCUGGAUCUUGGUUCGGCGUGCUGGACUUCGAGCAUCUCGUCUUAGAGCAGUGAGGGAAAGUAGGAUUGAGAGGAAGUGAAUCAUAGCGGUGGUUUGUGAAGGAAGGAGAGGAGAGAGAGAUAUAUAUUUGGAUGAGUUUACAGAAGGAGAGCAUUGUCAUGGUGUUGGUUUUGGUCCUGAUGCUUUAUUUUUUGUCCCUUCCGCCUCUUCCGCCUCCUCGCGGUGGUGGUUUUGGUCCUGCUGCUAUAUUUUUUGUCCUUUGACGAAGAAAUGAAACGAGUUGGGUUUGAGGGGUAAAAAAGAGGGUUGAUCUGAUGGGUAUAAUUUGAUUGGGAUUUGGACCAACCGAUGUCCAGAUUGAGGAUUGGGUUUGGGUUUUGUUGUGAGCAUGAAGAAAUUGGAUGGUAUAGAUUUUGGUUGCAAAUCUUAAUCUUCAAUAUUUGGCUAAAAGGAAUUUUUAUGAUUUUAGAUUUUGUUGUUUUAGAUUUUUUGUUAUUUUUUGAUCUAAGAUGGUAUAGAUUUUAAAUAUUUUUGUUGUUUUUAUUUAGUUUAAAUGAUUAAUAUAAGUGAUUUGAUGAAUUUGUAAUAAAUGUGUAAAUAGAUAUUAAAAUAAUUUUUUUUAUUUACACAUCAGCUGGUGAUGGCUCUAUUUUGAGGGUCACGUCAGCAAUUUCUGGCGUGGUGGCCCAAUUUGUUAUAAUUGAAAAAAAUUGAUAGUUCAAUCACCUAAUUGAAAAAAAUUAAAACUUUGAUCCCCGAAGUGGAAUAUGACCUAUAGUUUAG
rnacentral:lncRNA from 1 species